rnacentral:rRNA from 1 species
AUACGGAGGGUGCAAGCGUUAAUCGGAAUUACUGGGCGUAAAGCGCGCGUAGGUCGUUAUUUAAGUCAAAUGUGAAAGCCCUGGGCUCAACCUGGGAACUGCAUCUGAUACUGGAUAACUAGAGUCUGAGAGAGGGGAGUAGAAUUUUCGGUGUAGCGGUGAAAUGCAUAGAUAUCGGAAGGAAUACCAGUGGCGAAGGCGGCUCCCUGGAUCAAGACUGACACUGAGGUGCGAAAGCAUGGGGAGCAAACCGUAUUAGAUACCCGAGUAGUCC